rnacentral:rRNA from 1 species
CAGUAGCCGCGGUAAAACGUAGGGUGCAAGCGUUAAUCGGAAUUACUGGGCGUAAAGCGUGCGCAGGCGGUUAUAUAAGACAGAUGUGAAAUCCCCGGGCUCAACCUGGGAACUGCAUUUGUGACUGUAUAGCUAGAGUACGGCAGAGGGGGAUGGAAUUCCGCGUGUAGCAGUGAAAUGCGUAGAUAUGCGGAGGAACACCGAUGGCGAAGGCAAUCCCCUGGGCCUGUACUGACGCUCAUGCACGAAAGCGUGGGGAGCAAACAGGAUUAGAUACCCCAGUAGUCCCUGUCUCUUAUAC